rnacentral:rRNA from 1 species
UACGUAGGGGGCUAGCGUUGUCCGGAUUUAUUGGGCGUAAAGGGCGCGUAGGCGGCCCGCCGCGUCCGGGGUGAAAUCCUCCCGCUCAACGGGAGAACGGCCUCGGAUACGGGCGGGCUGGAGGCGGGUAGGGGCAGGCGGAACUGUGGGUGGAGCGGUGAAAUGCGUUGAGAUCCACAGGAACUCCGGUGGCGAAGGCGGCCUGCUGGACCCGAUCUGACGCUGAGGCGCGAAAGCCAGGGGAGCGAACGGG